rnacentral:rRNA from 1 species
AGCGUACACGGUGGAUGCCCUGGCAGUCAGAGGCGAUGAAGGACGUGCUAAUCUGCGAUAAGCGUCGGUAAGGUGAUAUGGACCGUUAUAACCGGCGAUUUCCGAAUGGGGAAACCCAGUGUGAUUCGUCACACUAUCAUUAACUGAAUCCAUAGGUUAAUGAGGCGAACCGGGGGAACUGAAACAUCUAAGUACCCCGAGGAAAAGAAAUCAACCGAGAUUCCCCCAGUAGCGGCGAGCGAACGGGGAGGAGCCCAGAGCCUGAAUCAGUGUGUGUGUUAGUGGAAGCGUCUGGAAAGGCGCGCGAUACAGGGUGACAGCCCCGUACACAAAAAUGCACAUAUUGUGAGCUCGAUGAGUAGGGCGGGACACGUGGUAUCCUGUCUGAAUAUGGGGGGACCAUCCUCCAAGGCUAAAUACUCCUGACUGACCGAUAGUGAACCAGUACCGUGAGGGAAAGGCGAAAAGAACCCCGGCGAGGGGAGUGAAAAAGAACCUGAAACCGUGUACGUACAAGCAGUGGGAGCCUCUUAAUGGGGUGACUGCGUACCUUUUGUAUAAUGGGUCAGCGACUUAUAUUCUGUAGCAAGGUUAACCGUAUAGGGGAGCCGAAGGGAAACCGAGUCUUAACUGGGCGUUAAGUUGCAGGGUAUAGACCCGAAACCCGGUGAUCUAGCCAUGGGCAGGUUGAAGGUUGGGUAACACUAACUGGAGGACCGAACCGACUAAUGUUGAAAAAUUAGCGGAUGACUUGUGGCUGGGGGUGAAAGGCCAAUCAAACCGGGAGAUAGCUGGUUCUCCCCGAAAGCUAUUUAGGUAGCGCCUCGUGAAUUCAUCUCCGGGGGUAGAGCACUGUUUCGGCAAGGGGGUCAUCCCGACUUACCAACCCGAUGCAAACUGCGAAUACCGGAGAAUGUUAUCACGGGAGACACACGGCGGGUGCUAACGUCCGUCGUGAAGAGGGAAACAACCCAGACCGCCAGCUAAGGUCCCAAAGUCAUGGUUAAGUGGGAAACGAUGUGGGAAGGCCCAGACAGCCAGGAUGUUGGCUUAGAAGCAGCCAUCAUUUAAAGAAAGCGUAAUAGCUCACUGGUCGAGUCGGCCUGCGCGGAAGAUGUAACGGGGCUAAACCAUGCACCGAAGCUGCGGCAGCGACACUAUGUGUUGUUGGGUAGGGGAGCGUUCUGUAAGCCUGUGAAGGUGGCCUGUGAGGGUUGCUGGAGGUAUCAGAAGUGCGAAUGCUGACAUAAGUAACGAUAAAGCGGGUGAAAAGCCCGCUCGCCGGAAGACCAAGGGUUCCUGUCCAACGUUAAUCGGGGCAGGGUGAGUCGACCCCUAAGGCGAGGCCGAAAGGCGUAGUCGAUGGGAAACAGGUUAAUAUUCCUGUACUUGGUGUUACUGCGAAGGGGGGACGGAGAAGGCUAUGUUGGCCGGGCGACGGUUGUCCCGGUUUAAGCGUGUAGGCUGGUUUUCCAGGCAAAUCCGGAAAACCAAGGCUGAGGCGUGAUGACGAGGCACUACGGUGCUGAAGUAACAAAUGCCCUGCUUCCAGGAAAAGCCUCUAAGCAUCAGGUAACAUCAAAUCGUACCCCAAACCGACACAGGUGGUCAGGUAGAGAAUACCAAGGCGCUUGAGAGAACUCGGGUGAAGGAACUAGGCAAAAAUGGUGCCGUAACUUCGGGAGAAGGCACGCUGAUAUGUAGGUGAAGCGACUUGCUCGUGGAGCUGAAAUCAGUCGAAGAUACCAGCUGGCUGCAACUGUUUAUUAAAAACACAGCACUGUGCAAACACGAAAGUGGACGUAUACGGUGUGACGCCUGCCCGGUGCCGGAAGGUUAAUUGAUGGGGUUAGCGGUAACGCGAAGCUCUUGAUCGAAGCCCCGGUAAACGGCGGCCGUAACUAUAACGGUCCUAAGGUAGCGAAAUUCCUUGUCGGGUAAGUUCCGACCUGCACGAAUGGCGUAAUGAUGGCCAGGCUGUCUCCACCCGAGACUCAGUGAAAUUGAACUCGCUGUGAAGAUGCAGUGUACCCGCGGCAAGACGGAAAGACCCCGUGAACCUUUACUAUAGCUUGACACUGAACAUUGAGCCUUGAUGUGUAGGAUAGGUGGGAGGCUUUGAAGUGUGGACGCCAGUCUGCAUGGAGCCGACCUUGAAAUACCACCCUUUAAUGUUUGAUGUUCUAACGUUGGCCCCUAAUCGGGGUUGCGGACAGUGUCUGGUGGGUAGUUUGACUGGGGCGGUCUCCUCCUAAAGAGUAACGGAGGAGCACGAAGGUUGGCUAAUCCUGGUCGGACAUCAGGAGGUUAGUGCAAUGGCAUAAGCCAGCUUGACUGCGAGCGUGACGGCGCGAGCAGGUGCGAAAGCAGGUCAUAGUGAUCCGGUGGUUCUGAAUGGAAGGGCCAUCGCUCAACGGAUAAAAGGUACUCCGGGGAUAACAGGCUGAUACCGCCCAAGAGUUCAUAUCGACGGCGGUGUUUGGCACCUCGAUGUCGGCUCAUCACAUCCUGGGGCUGAAGUAGGUCCCAAGGGUAUGGCUGUUCGCCAUUUAAAGUGGUACGCGAGCUGGGUUUAGAACGUCGUGAGACAGUUCGGUCCCUAUCUGCCGUGGGCGCUGGAGAACUGAGGGGGGCUGCUCCUAGUACGAGAGGACCGGAGUGGACGCAUCACUGGUGUUCGGGUUGUCAUGCCAAUGGCACUGCCCGGUAGCUAAAUGCGGAAGAGAUAAGUGCUGAAAGCAUCUAAGCACGAAACUUGCCCCGAGAUGAGUUCUCCCUGACUCCUUGA